rnacentral:rRNA from 1 species
UGACGGGCCCGCACAAGCAGCGGAGCGUGUGGUUUAAUUCGAUGCUACACGAAGACCUUACCAGGUCUUGACAUCCCGAUGCUAUUUCUAGAGAUAGAAAGUUACUUCGGUACAUCGGUGACAGGUGGUGCAUGGUUGUCGUCAGCUCGUGUCGUGAGAUGUUGGGUUAAGUCCCGCAACGAGCGCAACCCCUAUUGUUAGUUGCCAUCAUUCAGUUGGGCACUCUAGCGAGACUGCCGGUAAUAAACCGGAGGAAGGUGGGGAUGACGUCAAAUCAUCAUGCCCCUUAUGACCUGGGCUACACACGUGCUACAAUGGUUGGUACAACGAGUUGCGAGUCGGUGACGGCGAGCUAAUCUCUUAAAGCCAAUCUCAGUUCGGAUUGUAGGCUGCAACUCGCCUACAUGAAGUCGGAAUCGCUAGUAAUCGCGGAUCAGCACGCCGCGGUGAAUACGUUCCCGGGCCUU